AUAGUUUCGUGUGCGGGGGUGCAUACCUAUGUUUUCUUACUUCAGGAUGAAUAUAUACACAUACAAAUAUUUCCUUCCUUUCUGAAGUUAUUCUUUUAACUGCUAUAUUUCUCAUAAUGUCAGUGGGAGUCACUAGGCAAUGACCUUUAUUUUUCUCAUACUCAGCUGACCAAUUGAUAUAUUGGUUGUGCUUUUCAAAAAUAUUUGCUUUGCAGUGGAGCGUUUCUUCAAUUCGGAGAAAAGUCAAAAGCUUGUCACUCGUCCUGGACUCAAAACAAAAUUGAAGGAGAAGCCUGAAACUUCAGUUCCAAAGAUUGAAUUAGUCACAGGUACAUAGCAAGUAUAGCAUUAGCAUGAAUUCAGUAGCAAAAGGUGGUCUAGUAGAAAGGUGAUUUUGCAGUUCUUUACUUAAAGUUCAACUACUAAGUGAAAUUAGCAUGUUGCUGGAAUCCACAGAAUCAAAGAUCUUAGCUACUACUUCCGGUAAACAAACAUGUUUUUCUGGUGAGAAUACUGAACGGAAGCCUAAACCCUCAAUAAAUAAGGAUGGGAGAGGGGAAGUUUCUUUCAGUCAAGAAAAAGAUAGAGGUAAAGUGAAAUUUUCCGAGGAUCUCUCAAACAGAAGUGUAUCAGAUAUUCGGCCACUGAAGAAAAGGAAGCUUGAAUGGUUUUCAGGUCAAUCUUUGUCAGAACUUUUACCCAUUCUUCUAACCCCCCCCCCAAAAAAAAAAAAAAAAAAAAUUAUUACCAAAAUUGUGUCUGGGCAUUAACAGUUGUUUAAAAAAAAAAGGAAAAAAAAACCUGCAAAGUUAUCUGACCCUCUCCAAGAUCACUUAAUUAUUGAGCAAAAUUUCUAGAUUCCAAGGCUGCUGUUAGUGAGAACAGAGAACUAACCAAGGGAAAUUAUCCGGAGAAGGCAAGUUACUUUUCUGAUGAAGCAGCUUCUCAACUUAAACUGGAAAAGGGUGUCAAAACUAAGACCCAAAUUGGGGAGGUUACAAGAAGGCCUGAUAUGGAUAUGAGCAAAUGGUUCAAGCCACAAUCUUGGGAGGACAAGAUGCAGAGAGCUUCUGAGAAAGGCACCCUUGUAUUACUAGAAAACCUUGAUCCUUCCUAUACAACAUCAGAAGUAGAGGUAUAUUUAUGAUAGUCAUGCUCGUUAAAUAAUUUU